GGGACUAUGGCUUAGUGGUAGAGUUCUUGUCUUUCACACAUGAAGCCCUGGGUUUGAUUCCUCAGUACUA
rnacentral:tRNA from 1 species